UAGGGAAUCUUCCACAAUGGACGCAAGUCUGAUGGAGCAACGCCGCGUGAGUGAAGAAGGUCUUCGGAUCGUAAAACUCUGUUGUUAGAGAAGAACACGAGUGAGAGUAACUGUUCAUUCGAUGACGGUAUCUAACCAGCAAGUCACGGCUAACUACGGGCCAG
rnacentral:rRNA from 1 species